AUUGAACGCUGGCGGCAGGCCUAACACAUGCAAGUCGAGCGGAGCGGAGGACGGGUGAGUAAUGCCUAGGAAUCUGCCUGGUAGUGGAGGAUAACGUCCGGAAACGGGCGCUAAUACCGCAUACUAUCAGAUGAGCCUAGGUGGGCUUAGCUAGUUGGUGGGGUAAAGGCAUACCAAGGCGACGAUCCGGAACUGGUCUGAGAGGAUGAUCAGUCCCACUGGAACUGAGACACGGUCCAGACUCCUACGGGAGGCAGCAGUGGGUAUUAUUGGACAAGGGGCGAAAGCCUGAUCCAGCCAUGCCGCGUGUGUGAAGAAGGUCUUCGGAUUGUAAAGCACUUUAAGUUGGGAGGCGUUACCAACAGAAUAAGCACCGGCUAACUACGUGCCAGCAGCCGCGGUAAUUC
rnacentral:rRNA from 1 species